rnacentral:rRNA from 1 species
AGGACGAACGCUGGCGGCGUGCUUAACACAUGCAAGUCGAGCGGAAAGGCCCUUCGGGGUACUCGAGCGGCGAACGGGUGAGUAACACGUGAGUAACCUGCCCUAGGCUUUGGGAUAACCCUCGGAAACGGGGGCUAAUACCGAAUAUUCAUUCCGGCGGCAUCGUUGGUUGUGGAAAGUUUUUCGGCCUGGGAUGGGCUCGCGGCCUAUCAGCUUGUUGGUGGGGUGAUGGCCUACCAAGGCGACAACGGGUAG